GACGAACGCUGGCGGCGUGCUUAACACAUGCAAGUCGAACGGAAAGGCCCUGCUUUUGUGGGGUGCUCGAGUGGCGAACGGGUGAGUAUCACGUGAGUAACCUGCCCUUGACUUUGGGAUAACUUCAGGAAACUGGGGCUAAUACCCGGUAUGAGCUCCUGCUGCAUGGUGGGGGUUGGAAAGUUUCGGCGGUUCGGGAUGGACUCGAGGCUUAUCAGCUUGUUGGUGGGGUAGUGGCUUACCAAGGCUUUGACGGGUAGCCGGCCUGAGAGGGUGACCGGCCACAUUGGGACUGAGAUACGGGCCAGACUGCUACGGGAGGCAGCGGUGGGGAAUUUUGCGCAAUGGGCGGAGGCCGUAUGCAGCAACGCCGCGUCCGGGAUGACGGCUUUCGGGGUGGAACCCGCUUUCGCCUGGGACGAAGCGUGAGUGACGGUAAUGGGUAAGGAAGCACCGGCUAACUACGUG
rnacentral:rRNA from 1 species